GUCCUAAGCAGUGACAUCGUCGGUGCUCGGGCAGCUCAGAUCUGGCCUCUGAGACCAGUUCCGUUAGUUUUCAUUCUUCUCUAGGGACUGAUGUAAACCUGGGAUGUCAGGCCGGCACAGAACGGCAGAGGAGAGGGGGAGCGGGCGCAGACGGGCACGAGGAGGAGGGGCUGACUGGACGAGCGCCGAGCCCGCACCUGUCCGGGGACCACCGCUCUGGAGAACAGCUUAUUCAGCUGGACCAGCUCGUUGGGCGUGGUGUCGAACUUGAGCGCGAUGCUGUUGAGCGUGUCCCGUGACUCCACCUGGA